GGGGCUGCUGGCUGCGCCUGUCCCGGUGCGCGGGGCCUCCCCAGGCCGUGCAGCAGUGAGCAGCGCCUGCUCGCUCCCUCCCUCCUUCGCCCGGCCGGGGACUCCUUCCCGCCCCCGCCGGGCCCGGCCGCACCUGUGCCGCCCUGUGACGUCACGCGCCGAAACACCUUCCCCCCCGGGCGGCAGUAGCAGCCAGCGGCCCCACGUGCAGGAGGAGAAGCCGCACGAGGGAAGACGCCGGCCACAACCCAGUCGCAAACAAAGCCGAGGGCUAUGGAUUCCCGCUCGGUUUUGCUGCUUUUCUUGCCCAAAAUGCUUAGAACCUUACCAGAUACUCUCCAGUUCAAACAGACCAUCAGAGGGAACAACACCAAGUGAGAAAGUCUGCAGAAUCACCCUCUUUUCUGGCCUUGGAAAACAGAGUUCCAUAUUUCAGCUACUGAGAUGUUUUAGGAAGAUUCAGUUUUAAUGACUGGACAUAAAGAGAGAGGCACUUCAGCAGAUGUUGUGAUGUCAUUAAAUUACUGCUUAUGUGGAUCCAGAUGACAAAUGGAAGGAACCACGGACCUCACCCAGGAACAGAACAG